rnacentral:rRNA from 1 species
GAUACCCUGGUAGUCCACACAGUAAACGAUGAAUACUCGCUGUUGGCGAUACAAUGUCAGCGGCCAAGCGAAAGCAUUAAGUAUUCCACCUGGGGAGUACGCCGGCAACGGUGAAACUCAAAGGAAUUGACGGGGGCCCGCACAAGCGGAGGAACAUGUGGUUUAAUUCGAUGAUACGCGAGGAACCUUACCCGGGCUUAAAUUGCAACUGACGGACUUGGAAACAGGUCUUUCUUCGGACAGUUGUGAAGGUGCUGCAUGGUUGUCGUCAGCUCGUGCCGUGAGGUGUCGGCUUAAGUGCCAUAACGAGCGCAACCCUUACCGACAGUUACCAUCAGGUAACGCUGGGGACUCUGUCGGGACUGCCGUCGUAAGAUGUGAGGAAGGGUGGGGAUGACGUCAAAUCAGCACGGCCCUUACGUCCGGGGCUACACACGUGUUACAAUGGGGGGUACAGAAGGCAGCUACACGGCGACGUGAUGCUAAUCCCAAAAGCCUCUCUCAGUUCGGAUUUGGAGUCUGCAACCCGACUCCAUGAAGCUGGAUUCGCUAGUAAUCGCGCAUCAGCCAGGGCGCGGUGAAUACGUUCCCGGGCCUUUGUCACACCGCCCGUCAAGCCAUGAAAGCCCGGGGGUACCCUGAAGUGCGUAACCGCAAGGAGCGCCCCUAGGUAAAACUGGUGAUUGGGGCUAAGUCCUAACCAGG